UUUGUCGUGACUUUAUUGUGUUAACAUAUUUGGGUGUCCUUAUGAAAAGUCAUGUCAACCGCAUGAAUAGGCACCAAUUUUAAAGAAAGCACGAAAAGAGACAGAAAGAGAGCAGAGGAGUCCAUGGAGACUUAAGCGCAGCUUUUCCGGAUGCAAGUUGGCAGCCCUUCUGAGUCUCUGAGAUGGACCCACCCAGAGGAAGACAGAGCUCCCAUCUGUACCACAAUCCUCGCCAAAGCACCGGAGUGCACUAACGGUCAAAAUGUGCAAGGGAAAGGUUUUGUCAGCUGCAAGUCAUUUGACACUUUUGUGUAAUGCUGCAGAUGAUGUGUAAAAUGUGGGAUGAGAACAUUUAUUAGAAGAGGGAACAUGGAAAAAAAACUACUGCUGUUUUUUUUUUCCGUAAUAGGCCAAGACUAUGACCUCCUAUAUGAUAUCCUUAGAGUCCGAAGGCCACAAUUGUGACAUACUUCACUUCUCUUCUCUUUAUGAGUGCCAUGAUUGUAGUGUUCAAGGCAACAUAUUACGCCUUGUCACAAUCAUUACAUAAAACAAAAUACAAACAAAUCAUGGGGUAUGUGUGCACUAUACUGUGUGCAGCAAUUUCUUUUAGCCUUUAGUUAAUCAAGAAACAUCAAAUUGAGAUUAAGAACCUUCAUUUAAAGGUAGUCGCCAACAAACUAUAGUUACAUCUUUAGAUUGCUACCUUUGAUACUUUUUUUUGAAGCUGCACGCAAAAGGUCAAGUCUAUCCUGCUAACAAACAGGCAAUAUUAAACAAUUUGAGUUUUAGAACAGAUCAACAUAUAUGAUAACUCAGCAAAAAGGAAGAACAAGGAAAAAAGAACACAUCUGUAGAAAUUUAAGCUUGCUUACCCAGCAGUUUGUUUUACAUUGAGCAAUGAAGGUAACAUCCUCUGGUCAAAGAAAUUGUGGAUGUUAAAAGGGGAAAUGAGGACUUGGGUACUCGCUGUGGCCGACUUACUACACUGAACUGACCCAAAACUUUCUUUCUUUCUUUGUUUGUCUGUUUACAAAGGAACCAUGGAUUCCCCCCCCCCCCCCCCCCCAAAAAAAAAAAA